ACAUUGAGCCAUUUCCACAGUAACUUCAGGGAGGUUCCUCAUCGUCCAGACACUUCAAAUCAAAAUGGUGACUCCACGUCUACUUUUGGCUCUUGCUCUCAUCGCAGCCAUCCUCCCAGCAGCGGAGGCCCAGAUCAUAGAGCAGUUCCUCUGCUUCAUUACAUCUACCAUCAGAGAGCUUGCUGGAUGCCUCUCUGACUCAAGUUCACCCGUCUGUUCUAUCCUCAACACCUUUCUUGAACCCCUCUGCCCUGACAUGCCGUGGUAAGUUU